UUAGCAGACAGAAAAAUAUGGGUAACGCAGUCCAACCACGUUAUCCACAAAGCACUUCUCAAAAUAUCAAGGGAUGACGUAUAAUUUGGUUUUACUCAAUUACAUUGAUCCUCAACCAGUGCGGGAGUUGCUAGUCAGACAGUUGUAUUGAAAUUUCGGCCGUUUGUAUGUGAUCUUGUUCUAUGUGAGUUAUAUCCUAAUCAGUCAGCGUACCAAAAUUUCUCAAGUACGUAGAUAGACUUUUUUUGGCAGAAAAAAUAACUUUAAACUCAAAAUUUAUCAACACAAGCAAGACCAAAACAUCGACAUAAUAACCCAUAAUCAAACGCCGCUGCAAACAGGCGCUAAAAGAAUGCAGGGGAGUUCCGACGCCGCAAUCGAAACCCUAAGAACUUGAGGGGGGUACUUCGGCGAUCUCGAACAAGUGAAGGCGAUGAUCCUGAUCCACUCCGCCUUGUCCGGCGACACGCGUACGGUGGUGGAAUUCAGUGGAAGCCGAGCUCACCAACAUGGACCUCAAAUCCAUCUCCGCCAGCUCCUUGCUCGACCCGCGUACGCUCCGAAUGUCCUCUCACCUCCUCAGCCCCAAAGUCCUCCAGGUUGAUUAAGAGAAUUGAGAAUUGGGUCGUUUUCGGUUUGGUUGCUGAGAAAAUAGAAAAAGAGAGAAAAAAUAUGGUCCUUCGUUGCCUUUUUUUUUAAUUUUUAUAUCAGAUAGCUUGAGCAAGAGACGUUAUAACAGCAGUGUGUAGGAUUUUGCGAGGAAUUCGACUUUUGAAACUUGGGCUCACAGACGGCCGCAGUGAGGUAGUUGCUGUGAAGGACUCUCAUAUCCCGGCAAUCCCUGGCGACUUCUUUCCUAGAACUAAGGUUCGUCUGGAAGGUAAAGCUACUGUACUGAACGGAAUGGUAUGUUUGAGUCCUAAAAUCGUGACAGUGUUAGGAGGUGUUGUUCAACCACUUUACGAAGAUUGGCAGAUGAAUAAAAAAUAUUCCGGGUUUUCACCUUCAUCUUUAAGGCUUUAAAGAUAUGUAAAAUCGUAUAAAACAUGUAGAAAGUUAUCAAUAUAUGUAAGAUAGACAAUACUAUUUA